GUGAGGAAUUUUGCGCAAUGGGGGCAACCCUGACGCAGCAACGCCGCGUGAGUGAAGAAGGCCUUUGGGUCGUAAAGCUCUGUCAACCGGGAAGAAGUUAUGCAUCAUGAAUAGUGAUGCAUAUUGACGGUACCGGUGGAGGAAGCGCCGGCUAACUCCGUGCCAGCAGCCGCGGUAACACGGGGGGCGCAAGCGUUAUUCGGAAUUAUUGGGCGUAAAGGGCGCGUAGGCGGUUCUGUCGGUCAGAUGUGAAAGCCCGGGGCUCAACCCUGGAAGUGCAUUUGAAACAGCAGAACUUGAGUACGGGAGAGGAAAGCGGAAUUCCUGGUGUAGAGGUGAAAUUCGUAGAUAUCAGGAGGAACACCGAUGGCGAAGGCAGCUUUCUGGACCGAUACUGACGCUGAGGCGCGAAGGCGUGGGUAGCGAACGGGAUUAGAAACCCUAGUAGUCC
rnacentral:rRNA from 1 species